CCUACGGGUGGCAGCAGUGGGGAAUAUUGGACAAUGGGCGAAAGCCUGAUCCAGCCAUGCCGCGUGUGUGAAGAAGGCCUUCGGGUUGUAAAGCACUUUCAGUGGGGAAGAAAGCCUUGGGGCUAAUACCCUCGAGGAAGGACAUCACCCACAGAAGAAGCACCGGCUAACUCCGUGCCAGCAGCCGCGGUAAUACGGAGGGUGCGAGCGUUAAUCGGAAUUACUGGGCGUAAAGCGCGCGUAGGCGGUCUGAUAAGCCGGUUGUGAAAGCCCCGGGCUCAACCUGGGAACGGCAUCCGGAACUGUCAGGCUAGAGUGCAGGAGAGGAAGGUAGAAUUCCCGGUGUAGCGGUGAAAUGCGUAGAGAUCGGGAGGAAUACCAGCGGCGAAGGCGGCCUUCUGGACUGACACUGACGCUGAGGUGCGAAAGCGUGGGUAGCAAACAGGAUUAGAUACCCCAGUAGUC
rnacentral:rRNA from 1 species